AGCAUAAAAGUAGCAAUACUUGGUGGCGACCGGCGCACGGGUGAGUAACGCGUAUGCAACCUACCUAUCAGAGGGGAAUAACCCGGCGAAAGUCGGACUAAUACCGCAUAAAACAGGGACACCGCAUGGUGAUAUUUGUUAAAGAAAUUCGCUGAUAGAUGGGCAUGCGUUCCAUUAGGUAGUUGGUGAGGUAACGGCUCACCAAGCCGACGAUGGAUAGGGGAACUGAGAGGUUGGUCCCCCACACUGGUACUGAGACACGGACCAGACUCCUACGGGAGGCAGCAGUGAGGAAUAUUGGUCAAUGGGCGAGAGCCUGAACCGGCCAAGUCGCGUGAAGGAAGAAGGAUCUAUGGUUCGUAAACUUCUUUUGCAGGGGAAUAAAGUGCAGGACGUGUCCUGUUUUGUAUGUACCCUGAGAAUAAGGAUCGGCUAACUCCGUGCCAGCAGCGGC
rnacentral:rRNA from 1 species